GACGAACGCUGGCGGCGUGCCUAAUACAUGCAAGUCGAACGCUUUUUCUUUCACCGGAGCCUGCUCCACCGAAAGAAAAAGAGUGGCGAACGGGUGAGUAACACGUGGGUAACCUGCCCAUCAGAAGGGGAUAACACUUGGAAACAGGUGCUAAUACCGUAUAACACUAUUUUCCGCAUGGAAGAAAGUUGAAAGGCGCUUUUGCGUCACUGAUGGAUGGACCCGCGGUGCAUUAGCUAGUUGGUGAGGUAACGGCUCACCAAGGCAACGAUGCAUAGCCGACCUGAGAGGGUGAUCGGCCACACUGGGACUGAGACACGGCCCAGACUCCUACGGGAGGCAGCAGUAGGGAAUCUUCGGCAAUGGACGAAAGUCUGACCGAGCAACGCCGCGUGAGUGAAGAAGGUUUUCGGAUCGUAAAACUCUGUUGUUAGAGAAGAACAAGGAUGAGAGUAAAAUGUUCAUCCCUUGA
rnacentral:rRNA from 1 species